UACGUAGGGACCAAGCGUUGUUCGGAUUUACUGGGCGUAAAGGGCGCGUAGGCGGCCUGACAAGUGGAAGGUGAAAUCCCUCGGCUUAACCGAGGAACUGCCCUCCAAACUGUUUGGCUUGAGUCCGGGAGAGGUGAGUGGAAUUCCCAGUGUAGCGGUGAAAUGCGUAGAUAUUGGGAGGAACACCAGUGGCGAAGGCGGCUCACUGGACCGGAACUGACGCUGAUGCGCGAAAGCGUGGGGAGCAAACGGG
rnacentral:rRNA from 1 species